rnacentral:lncRNA from 1 species
GACAGUUUUGAUAAAUUUCCAAGAGAAGGUGGAAUUGGACCUGUUAGCAAAUUCACUCCGAGAUGCAAAUACGAGAGUUCUUGCAUGAGGCCUAAUUCUUCUUGAAUCUCUCCAGUCAGGUUGUUGAAAUCAAGGCCAAGUAUAUUGAGAUGGGUGAGAUUGCUAAAAACAGCUGGGACAGAGCCAUGUAAGGAAUUAGCACCCAAGGAUAGACGGUAAGUUGUUGCAAUUGAGCCAACCAGGUUGGCACAACAUCGACAAAAAAAUUGUAUGACAAGGAGAUCACUUGCAGGUGUUGGCACGAUGCAAGACCAGAUGGAAUUCGACCAACAAAGUUAUUCGUACUAAGGGUAAUCCAUUGUAGCAUCGGAAGACUGAAACUUUGAUUAUUGUUCGGAAUCGGCCCAGUUAAACUGUUUGAUUCGAAUCCAAUUACUUGCAGCCUAGACAUGUUAUAAAUGGUUGGGGGUACUGUGCCAGUGAGCUGAUUGCAUCCCAGGGACAAGUACUCAAGCAUGGGUAGUGAGCCUAUUCUAUGGGGUAUUGGACCUGAUAGGCUAUUCUUUCCGAGGUCGAUUUGCUUGAGGGAAGGUGUGUUAUUGAACAGAUACAGUGGUAUGUUGCCACUCAAGUCAUUCCAUGCUAGAUAAAACCACUCAAGAUUUCUCAUGCUCUGCGGUAACCGUUGUGGAAUCUCUCCAGUCAGGUUGUUGAAAGAAAGGUCAAGUACAGUAAGACGGGUGAGAUUGCUAAGAACAGCUGGGACAGAGCCAUGUAAGGCAUUAGCACGCAAGUUUAGAUAGGUAAGCAUGGGCAGUGAGCCCAUUCCUUGGGGUAUUGGACCUGAUAGGCUAUUGUUUGAGAGGUUGAUGUGGUUGAGGGAAGGUGUGUUAUUGAACAGAUACAAUGGUAUGUUGCCACUCAACUCAUUCCAUGCUAGAGUAAACCACUGAAGGUUUCUCAUGCUUUGCAGUAACCGUGGUGGAAUCUGCCCCGAGAGGGUGUUGUUACUUAGGCGAAGAAACUCGAGGCUUUUGAGGUUUCCUAUGGUACUAGGAAUGGCGCCUGAGAGGUCAUUUCCAUACAGAUCUAGGACCCUAAGCCGACGUAGCCUUCCAAUUUCAGCAGGGAUGAGUCCAGCGACACCAAUUCUUGUGAGGUUGAGCAUGCUGAGGAAGGAAAGAUUACCGAGAUGUUGGCUGAGCGCUCCAUGGAGGGGCACAUCCACCAACCGUAGAGCCGUGACACGCGGCCGGUGGUGGCUGCACGAGACCCCGACCCAUCGACAGAAGGACACGUUGGAUGUCCAGCUGCCGGCGAGGAUUCCGAGAGGAUCAGAGAGCAGCGAUUUGAAAGCCAACAGGGCAGUGAGGUCGGUGUAGCUACCGUUAACAUUGGUUACACUUGGGCUUGGAGAUGAAGAAAGGACAGCAGGCAAUAGGAUUGGUAGCAAGAUGGCCAAAAACACUAGAGGGACCGGGUAGCUUGCAAUGGCCAUUGUUGUGUAUUUUUGGGCUGAUAGGUCAUAGGUGGCAAUGUUAUAUACUUAUAUGUAUUUUUGGGUCAUAGGUCAUAGGUCACAUGUCAAAGUCUUGACUCGUGUUUCCUUUAUUUAUUUGUCACACGGUAUAUUUCUAUGGUGGCAAAAAAAAACAGUGUCACUAUUAUCUUGACUCAUGAAGUCAGCAAAGAUCUUUUAUAUUACUAUAAAGUAAUAAACAUUUAGAGACAUUUUGCUAAAUGUGAAUCCACGAUCUCGCCAUCUAGCGAUCGACAUUUCAUGAAUAUUGCUGCCUUUUAUAUUUACACACAUAUACAAUUCACUGAACGGAACGGAGAGUGUGUGCUGUCUCAUUGGACGUUGCCAGCUUGUGCGAAGACUAGAAUAUUGGCGGUCGUUGCACGGCAAAUUCCUGUCAGGUCAUUACGGGUUAGACAAGACGUGAAGACGAUGAUGGGUUGAAUAUUCUCUAGUACCUUUGCAGCCAUAGUCUCGUAUAGGCUACCGUCGAAUGCUACUUCCUGGUCAAUAACUCUACAGACGUAAAGACUGAUGUGGAUUAGUGUUGGUUCAUUUAUAUGGUGGCCUGUUCGGCAGUUGCAUAAAUGUAAUUUUUUUUCGUUUUGAAAUUUUCUCUUCAGGGUAGGAUAUAUCGAUCUCUCAGUGCAAAAUUGAAGGAUAUAUAUGCCUGUCUCGUAGGUGACACAGGUUAUGAACCACGACUAACAGGGUAUUUCCAAAGGACAGAAGCAGAGGAGCCCAUCCUGAUCAAUGUACAAAUUAAAUUAGUGACCACACUCAUGGAAAAAAGAACGCAUUUAUUCUAUUAUGAAAAGUUAACGAAACACUGUAAUUAUAAGCUUGGAUAUGCGUUGUUAAACUGAAAACAAAGUAUUUUAUUAGCUAAAAAAAUCAAUAAACUGGAUUAUUACAAAGUAACAUGCACUAGCAGUAGAUGAUGUUCCCAUUUUUCAGAUAGUCUUUUGCAUUUGUCUCUGAAGCGGUCAAUUCUGAUUAAGUUGCCAUAUUUUCUUUGUGGCCCCUUUAUCCACCAAAUAACUGCUAGGAAGUUGAGAUCCACAUGGAGGAAAUUUAGUCAUUUACAAGAUGCAACAAGUAGUUCAUACUAUACCCGCUGCUGCUGGUAACUAUCCAGCCAACAGCUUCGUAUCCAUCGUUAAUUCAAUAGCCACCAUUCACCACGAAAACAUCAUUUCAACAGAUCAUGAUAUACACUAUGAUUUCGCAAAGAAACAAAUUUGCGCAGCUGUGAAAGAAACAUGGGGACAUUCAUACCCUGUGUUAUGUGCAUACUAAUGAAUACAGUUGAUCGUAAACAAAUUGCUGGAUGCUAACUGCACCAUCAUGGCUACACAAUUACAAAUUCGAAAGUUAUUUCAGUUAGUGAGGCGGAAAUCACAAACUAUUUUUCAUUCGUUGGAUGCUAACUGCACCAUCAUGCAGAGUUUGGAGAGCAGAGUGGAAAGACAUAAUUAGUUUCUAAUAUAACAUGAAUGGAUCAGUUCGCAACGGAUCAAGUAUUUGUCCCAAUAAUAAAUCGGCAUUGCUUCUAGGUAAAAUAUCGAACACAUGGUGUCCUGUGCUGGCACAACAAUAGAGCUAUCUGAGGAACAGAUGCCUUUGUCAGUAGCAGAUCGAAUGAGAGGAACCCAGCAGGCAGCCUGAGAAGAAGACAAGCAGAAAUUGCCCCGGGCUCUAACCGUCUAUGGUCGACCGCAAAAUCCAUGUCGUGACCGCAAAAUCCACGGCAGUGGUCUUGUCCUCUGCUUUGUGAAUCUUCAAAUGCAUUAUUUGGAUUGCAGUAGCCACCCAUGAAGAUUAACCCGGGCUCGUUCAGUUGGAUUGCAGUAUUCAAAAAUCAUAUUAGGCACAGGCCAAAGGGACAAAAACAAGUAAUGAAAAAUAAUUGGAGAUGGAACAACGGACAGAACAGUUGAAUCACACGGUAGCACUCGUCGUGGUUGCUGAUAUUAUCGAUUCUGUAUAAUCCUUUUUUAUCUUCUUGAGUGCUACUGUGACAUCCCUCAUGACAUCCUCAGGCCAGGUGAGUCACUUGAGCAGAUCAACCCCAGCUCAAAUGUCGCCGUAAGAAAGUCAUUCAGAUUGCCGGCAAAGAAAGAAACACCUUGCAACAGCCGGUCAUCAAGAACAGAGGCAAGCUGAGCUGGAAAUGCUUGACGAACCCACCACCUAAUGCUCAAAUCUGCGACGAACAUGGGAUCUGUGGGUCUCUUUCCAGUGAAGACUUCAAGGAGCAUGAUUCCAUAACUGAAAACAUCGCUCUUGCGUGAUGCCUUCCCGUAAGAUCCAUACUCUGCUCAUGAGACCGGAAACAAAGAAUUCCAGCAAGACUGAAUCAGCACUGUUAGACAAAUAUAUACCAAACAAAAUUCAGAGUCACAGUACGGAGUAUGGACGUACCUGGUGCCAUGUACCCAAGUGUUCCAAGCAUGCUUGCAGUGAUCAUAGAGCAGUCAUCACCCAAUAGCAACUUUGCGAUUCCAAAGUCCGCUACAUGUGCUGUCAUGUCUUCAUCAAACAGCACGUUGCUAGGCUUCAAGUCACAGUGCAGGACUACCUCGUGAUGCUCAUGGUGCAGAUACUCCAUUGCCAUUGACACAUCUAGCAUGAUGUCCAGCCUCUUGAGGAACCCUAAGUGCUCUAUGCUGUCAGAUUGCAAGAGCAUCUCUAAGCUACCACGGGGCAUAUAUUGAAGCACCAAUGCCUUGAACUCCACAUUGGAGCAGACAUUCAAUAUCUUUAUCAAGUUCCUAUGCCGAGCCAUGCGAAGUGUGCUGCACUCAGCAUCAAAGCUUCUAAUGGCCUGCUCCUGCUGCAUGUCUAGAACUUUUACUGCCACCGUGAAACCGGUACUAAGUUGACCUUUAUAGACCUUUCCAAAGCUCCCAGUCCCCAACAGGUUGUCGUCACUAAAAUUACUGGUGGCAAGGACAAGCUCAUGGUAUGACAGGUGCCCAUGGUACAUAACAUUUCUAGGAUCAAUGACAGAAUCUUCAACCUCUCCCUUAUUUUUAAUUUUCUUUCUAAUGGUUUGGUAGAUGAAAAUAAUAGUACACCCAAAUGCUAUGGUUACAGAAGGGAGCAGGAAUCUUAGAAAGGGCGUCGUAUUUGAGUGAGGUUUUUCCAUACAUGGAGAGAAUCCUAAACGAGGUAUGCCACAAAGCCCAACAUUCCCAACCAAAGAUUGCAACGAGAUGUUAGAGAAAACACCGCCCUCUGGUACCUUGCCUUGUAGAUUAUUAAAGGAGAGAUUUAAAGUUUUCAAGAAGGUUAAAUUGGCUAGGAACAUGGGAAUGGUACCUGAGAAAUUAUUGGAGGAGAGGUCCAACAACUCGAGGCUCCUCAGCUCUUUAAAUGACAGGGGGAUUGAGUCCUCAAAUGAAUUGUGCGAUAGGAUUAGAUAGCUGAGCAUGCUUAGUUUCUCAAAUGAUUUGGGGAUGCUUCCAAGCAAAAAGUUGAAAGAAAGGUCAAUUGUAACCACUUGUUUCAUCCCACCAACGUCACUUGGUAGUUUACCAGAAAAGGAAUUGAUAGAAAGAUCUAGCAAUAUAAUUUUGUCAAGGCGGAACAAACUUGCCGGUAUAGUUGAAUUGAAUUGGUUGUCAGACAACGAGACGUAUUCUAGCAUGGUAAGAUUUCCAAUGCUAUCAGGUAUAGUGCCAUGAAAUCUAUUUCCAUAGAGAUAAAGCAAUUGUAAGUUUCUGAGCAUACCAAUUUGUGCCGGGAUAGUCCCUAGCAUGUCAUUAUGAGAGACAUCAAGCCAAACGAGAUUUUGCAUCCUCGUGAUAGAUUCUGGGAUCUCUCCUGUGAGCUGGUUGUUGGCAAGAUAAAUAAUCUCAAGACUGCUCAAGUUCGACAGUGAGGAUGGAAGCCCACCUGUUAGCUUGUUGUCACCAAGUCUAAACUCAAAUAAUUGUGCAGACAGAUUCCCCACAGUGUCAGGGAUUCGUCCGGUGAAAGAAUUAUAAUCUAGUACAAGGUGUUGGAGUCGCACAGAGCUGGAAAGAGAUGACAGGAAGUUAAGAUUCCCACUCAAAUUAUUAGAUUGCAGCUUAAGCAAGUUCAAAGUUGGUAUGUUCCCAAGUGUUUGUGGUACGGAUCCUGACAAUAUAUUAUAACACAAUGCUAGGAAAGUCAGUUUUGAUAAAUUUCCAAGAGAAGGUGGAAUUGGACCUGUUAGCAAAUUCACUCCGAGAUGCAAAUACGAGAGUUCUUGCAUGAGGCCUAAUUCUUUUUGAAUCUCUCCUGUCAGGUUGUUGAAAGGAAGGUAAAGUAUAUUGAGAUGGGUGAGAUUGCUAAGAACAGCUGGGACAGAGCCAUGUAAGGAAUUAGCACCCAAGUUUAGAUAGGUAAGCAUGGGCAGUGAGCCUAUUCCUUGGGGUAUUGGACCUGAUAGGCUAUUGUUUGAGAGGUUGAUGUGGUUGAGGGAAGGUGUGUUAUUGAACAGAUACAAUGGUAUGUUGCCACUCAACUCAUUCCCUGCUAGAGUAAACCACUGAAGGUUUCUCAUGCUUUGCAGUAACCGUGGUGGAAUCUGCCCCGAGAGGGUGUUGUUACUUAGGCGAAGAAACUCGAGGCUUUUGAGGUUUCCUAUGGUACUAGGAAUGGCGCCUGAGAGGCCAUUUCCACGAAGAUCGAGGAAUCUAAGUCGAUGUAGCCUUCCAAUUUCAGGAGGGAUGAGUCCAGCGACACCAAUUCUUGUGAGGUUGAGCAUGGUGAGGAAGGAAAGAUUACCGAGGUGUUGGCUGAGCGGUCCAUGGAGGGGCACGUCCACCAAACGUAGAGCCGUGACGCGCGGCCGGUGGUGGCUGCACGAGACCCCGACCCAUCGACAGAAGGAUACGUUGGAUGUCC